UUCUCGGUGAAGGAAAACACAGCUGGUUAAGUUUGUUUUGGUUUUGGUGUCGCGUGAUUGGAAUCCUGAUUUGUGGGGGAACUUUGUUUUCGCGAGUGCGCGAUUGUGUGCGUGUGUGUUUGUUUACGUUUGCCGUAUUCUUGGUGAGCGGGUGAUUAUAACUGGAUGAACUGGAUGCGGCCUGCGAUUGUUUAUGUGACUGUGCUUUGGGGGGUGUCCGUGACAGAAGGAAGAACCUUUCUCUGGUUAUUUCGGAGGAGGUAAUCUAUUGAGCGACUCGCGAGCAGUUUCCCGGUGAAGGUUGAGAGUGGAGUCCAUCUGAAUCGAUGGUACAUGCUGGUUCUA